UACGAAGGGUGCAACGUUGCUCGGAAUUAUUGGGCGUAAAGCGCACGUAGGCGGCUUUUCAAGUCCCAUGUGAAAUCCCAGCGGCUUAACCGUGGAAGUGCAUGGGAAACUGGAAAGCUUGAGUACUUAAGAGGAUCGCGGAAUUCCCGGUGUAGAGGUGAAAUUCGUAGAUAUCGGGAGGAACACCAGUGGCGAAGGCGGUGGUCUGGGCCGGAACGUGACGCUGUAGAGCGGAAGCGUGGGGAGCGAACGAGG
rnacentral:rRNA from 1 species